rnacentral:lncRNA from 1 species
GGCAUCAUAUAAUUUCAUACUGCUAAAUAGAGCUCUUGUAAUAUGACAUGCCGUGGGAACUCUUCCAAAACUUUAUUUGAUUGUGGAGAUGCUUUGCGAGAAACUGCUAGAUACUAGGAUUCAAAUAUCUGCUAGAAGGAUUUGGCAAAAAAAAGAAAGAAAAGAGCUGCUAGAUCAGUUUGUUUCCAAGGAUAUGUUCUGAUUUCGGAUCGAUGGUCAUUGUAUCAAAUUAUACAGGCGAAUAAAGGUUUUCAAAUCUUUGGUUUGUUAUGAUUGGGCAUUUUUUGUCCAUAUGGUUGUACUGCUAUGCUAUUCAUGGCUAACAUAGAGUUCAUCAGCUUUCGGUGAAUUGAGACAGAUCUGAUUUUCAAAUAAUUCUGAUUGUAGAUCAUGGAGAUCCAAUCAAUGCCAUAUCCUAUACAAACACAAAGAAAGCUAAAU